GACCCGGUGGUUAAGCGGUACGACGCUGCUGGCAUUGCUCAGCGGAAUCCUCGGUUCAACUCCUAGCCGGGUUA